GGCGGCGUGCUUAACACAUGCAAGUCGAGCGGAAAGGCCCCUUCGGGGGUACUCGAGCGGCGAACGGGUGAGUAACACGUGAGCAACCUGCCCCUGACUCUGGGAUAAGCCCGGGAAACUGGGUCUAAUACCGGAUACAACCACUGGUCGCAUGGCUGGGUGGUGGAAAGUUUUUCGGUUGGGGAUGGGCUCGCGGCCUAUCAGCUUGUUGGUGGGGUGAUGGCCUACCAAGGCGACGACGGGUAACCGGCCUGAGAGGGCGACCGGUCACACUGGGACUGAGACACGGACCAGACUCCUACGGGAGGCAGCAGUGGGGAAUAUUGCGCAAUGGGCGGAAGCCUGACGCAGCGACGCCGCGUGAGGGAUGACGGCCUUCGGGUUGUAAACCUCUUUCAGCAGGGACGAAGCUAACGUGACGGUACCUGCAGAAGAAGCGCCGGCUAACUACGUGCCAGCAGCCGCGGUAAUACGUAGGGCGCAAGCGUUGUCCGGAAUUAUUGGGCGUAAAGAGCUCGUAGGCGGUUUGUCGCGUCUGUCGUGAAAGCCACGGCUUAACCGUGGGUCUGCGGUGGAUACGGGCAGACUAGAGGCAGGUAGGGGAGAAUGGAAUUCCCGGUGUAGCGGUGAAAUGCGCAGAUAUCGGGAGGAACACCGGUGGCGAAGGCGGUUCUCUGGGCCUGUACUGACGCUGGGGAGCGAAAGCGUGGGGAGCGAACAGGAUUAGAUACCCUGGUAGUCCACGCCGUAAACGUUGGGCGCUAGGUGUGGGGUCCUUCCACGGAUUCCGCGCCGCAGCUAACGCAUUAAGCGCCCCGCCUGGGGAGUACGGCCGC
rnacentral:rRNA from 1 species